rnacentral:rRNA from 1 species
UACGUAGGGGGCAAGCGUUGUCCGGAAUCAUUGGGCGUAAAGAGCGUGUAGGCGGCCAGAAAAGUCCGCUGUGAAAACUCGAGGCUCAACUUCGAGCUGUCGGUGGAAACUUUCUGGCUAGAGUCCGGAAGAGGAGAAUGGAAUUCCUGGUGUAGCGGUGAAAUGCGCAGAUAUCAGGAAGAACACCCGUGGCUAAGGCAGCUCUCUAGUACGGUACUGACGCUGAGACGCGAAAGCGUGGGGAGCGAACAGG